GAUACCCUGGUAGUCCACACUGUAAACGAUGGAUACUAGGUGUAGGGUGUAUUAAACAUUCUGUGCCGCCGCAAACGCAUUAAGUAUCCCACCUGGGGAGUACGACCGCAAGGUUGAAACUCAAAGGAAUUGACGGGCACCCGCACAAGCGGUGGAGCAUGCUGUUUAAUUCGAAAAUACGCGAAGAACCUUACCUAGACUUGACAUCCCCGGCAAUGCUAUGGAAACAUAGCGGAGGUUACCCGGGUGACAGGUGGUGCAUGGUUGUCGUCAGCUCGUGUCGUGAGAUGUUUGGUUAAGUCCAAUAACGAGCGCAACCCUCUUCCUUAGUUGCUAACAUUUAGUUGAGAACUCUAAGGAUACUGCCAGUGCAAGCUGGAGGAAGGUGGGGAUGACGUCAAAUCAUCAUGCCCCUUACGUCUAGGGCUACAGGCGUGCUACAAUGGCCAGUACAACGAGCUGCCACGUGGUGACACGGAGCUAAUCUCUUAAAGCUGGUCCCAGUCCGGAUUAGAGUCUGCAACUCGACUCUAUGAAGUUGGAAUCGCUAGUAAUCCCGAAUCAGAAUGUCGGGGUGAAUACGUUCCCGGGUGUUGUACACACCGCCCGUCACGCCAUGGGAGUCUGUAAUACCUGAAGCCGAUAGCUUAACCCGCAAGGGAUGGGGUCGUCCAGGGUAGGACAGGUGACUGGGGUGAAGUCGUAACAAGGUAAC
rnacentral:rRNA from 1 species